GAGCCCAUUGGGCAACCGUGCGAACCCUAGCCCCAAUCCACAGUCCCCACGCCCCUCACUCCUCCCUCCCUCGUCCGCCGCCGCGCUCCCUCCCUCCUCCCUCCUCUUCCUCCUCCUCCCUCGUCUCCACGGCCUCUGCCCUAGGAGCCCCACUGCCGACUGCUACUCCACCACCACGCCCCUUCCUCCUCCUCGCCUUCCCAUCGCUCGUGCACAGGUCGCCGCUGUGGCAGAUCAGGGACAGUGCUGGGUCGUCAAGAUGGGGUGGUUACAAAGGCUUCCCAGCCCAACGGCGCCGUCAUGGGAGGAGGCUCACCAUCGAAGAGUAGCCGCAGGUGCACAACAUCCAAAGAGGUGCAGCCGGGAAGAGGUGAGGAUAAGUCGCUUGAUUGACAAGAGCAGAGCAGCGGAUUGGAUCGAGGGGGCCUGCAUGUCCACGCCGCCUAGAGUCACCCUGACUGCCGUCUCAAGCCGCAACCGCGAGUCAACUGCACCGCUGCCGCCAGGAAUCCCGUCCCCAGCAAGGGAAGUUCAAUGACAUAAAGACACAGGAGAUAUUCAGUUAUGUUGAUUGGGGAAAUUAAUGAUCAUUCAGUCAACAAAUGGGGCAGUAUUCUGAUCUUAUUUCAUCUCAUGCAUUGAUUAUUUAUUGUCUUCUUUGCAUACAUAUUUUAUUAGUUAUUCAUAUAUACUUGUUAACUCCGCCUAUGUCUUCUAGGCAUAGCCGGUCCCAAGCCCUGGUAAAGGAGGAGGGUUGUGAUAGGCUUGGCGAGCCAACGUAAAAACUAGCCAGUCCCAUAGGUAUGAAACCCAUUUGAGCGAGAAUAGUACUAGGAUGGGUGACCUCCUAGGAAGUCCUCGUGAAAGGGUUUCAUAUCUAAGGGUUGUGAUAGGCUUGGCGAGCCAACGUAAAAAUUAGCCAGUCUUUUGGGUAUGAAAUCCAUUUGGGCGAGAGUAGUACUAGGAUGGGUGACCUCCUGGGAAGUCCUCGUGAAAGGGUUUCAUAUCUAGCCUACCCCAACUUGUUUGGGAUAAAAGGCUUCGUAAAGUAAAGUAUUCAUAUAUACUUGUUGUAUCUUUGUACUGCUGUUUUUACAAAUUGCCGUAUCCUAUGUGCUUGUUUCCAUAUCGUCGUAUCUGUGUUGUUAUAUGGUGCUUCAUAGCAAAAACUUAUACUUACUAAAGAAAGUGUUCCUUUUCUUGGUCCCAUUGCUCCAUAAGCAUGAUCACGUUUCUACUAAUUGAUUAUACAUAUGAUCUUUCUUUUGAUUAUUUUGUGAUACUUCUGAUUGACACUAUGAGGUGCUUCCUUGUCAUGCAGAUUCAUCCUUUACUUAAAUACUGAUGAUGAUAUGGUUGUAAAUUAGUCUGGGAUGGCAAGGCAGCUUGAAGGUGGUCACGGCCAUCUCGCAGAGAUGGUGCAAGCUGUCAAGAAUCACGGUGCUGGGGCACUGCACUUCACCGCCGGGUGCAAGAUGGUGGAAGUGUGCGAGUACCUGUUGAGGAUGUCCAGGUGGACGUGGAUGUCGUUGACCAAGCAGGGUUGUUUUGCUGUCCCAAAGGCACACGGGAGUCUGCGGGAAAAAAACUGGCGACGUUUUCUCUUGGAUAUUCAGAAAAUGGAGACACUCGGCGAUCUGGCUCUGCUGCAGGACCGUGUGUAACUACUUAGAAGCAUGAAAUAGCUAUGUAGCCAUCUGCCCAGCCAAGUACAAGGGAUGGCAAGGCAGCUUGAAGGUGGUCACGACCAUCUCGCAGAGAUGGUGCAAGCUGCCAAGAAUCAGGGUGCUAGGGCACUGCACUUCACCGCCGGGUGCAAGAUGGUGGAAGUGUGUGAGUACCUGUUGAGGAUUUCCAGGUGGACGUGGAUGUCGUUGACCAAGCAGGUGUGUCUCUGCAAAUUAAUGUUGGUGUUUUUUGCUCUUUUCAGAUUUUAAGCUUGGUGUAUAAACAUACAUGUCACUCACUGUAUGUAACUUUCAGUGCAAGAUUAAAAUAGGGGAUACAUCAUUAUGGAAGGUAUAUGAUUGAAUAGCAAAUUGGAUGGAUUUACUGUCAUAUCAUUUAUUUGUGACUGCAUGAUCUGAAUUGCGCAUCUCUGAAAAUAUGUUAGGCUCUUGCCCUUGGAAGAUUAGACUGAUGUGGUGUUGAUUUGUAAAUAAAUGGCAUGCUUACCAUUUUGAUUUAGGUGUGUAGGCAGAAGCGAAAAAAGAUCAUAAUCUCAGGUUUAGGCAUGCACAUGGCCACUGAUCACAAAUAAAUAGGAACAAAUGCAGUAUUGUGAUUUUGAGCAAGAGAAAUAGAAGUACAGUUUAUUGUUCAUAUUUUGAGCCACACUUGAACCUUGUCCUAAUAACUAGGACUGUUGUGAUGUUGCCCUAUUAUAAGUGCCUUGCUUAAACGUUUGGUUAAGUCGAGUGUAUAGCGAAGAGAAGGCUAGCUGAACCAUGCUAAAUAUGGAAAGAGGCGGGAGCUAUACACAUGAUCAGUUGUUCAUCAUUUCAAAAAGGAGGACAGACCCAGUGCAUAGAAGCUCCCACACAAGAUUUUGCCUAUUCUCUAAGAUGGAUGAUGAUUAGCGGUGCAACCAAAAAUUCAGAGCUGGGCUUUACACACUUCAGUGGACUGGAAUGCAGGAGUAGCAUGACAACACCAAGGUAGAGACCUGAAGAGAAGAAGGGAAUGGACCAAGGAAACUAGAACCGUGUUGUCAUGAUGUGGGUCGUGUCGUCUUCGUCCAUCUCCAUGGAGGCAUAUAUACAUAGGUUAGUCAUAGGAAAGGAGACCGUCUCCAUGGAACUCUGACUGAUGUGUAAUGUCCUCAUAGGACUGGACCGUUUACAGAGGGAGUACUUGAAAAUAGAUUCUUUAUAUAUUGUUUGGUUCCAUCAGCCGCAUAACCUAAAUUAGCAAUUUGGUAUCUAAACAGUGUAGUGUAACCAUUGUGCUUGCUGCAGUCUUACUUUAGUGUUGAAA